rnacentral:rRNA from 1 species
ACUAAAAUACUGCAUGAGGCACGCCACCCCCCUUCGGCGGGAUCAGAAAUCAGUAGACUUCGUUAGGGAUAUGAAGCUGCUGGUAGAAAAAAAGCUAUUUUUUUUUUACCGCUCGCUUUGGAUAUAUAAAGUAUAAAUGUAAUUUAGGUGCGCCAGCGUUUCGCUAGCUGCUCCUAAAUUAUAUAAGUAUAGAAAGAAAUUAUUGUAGAAUUUAAGCUACAUAUUAAAGAGAUUUAUUUAUAUAAAUAGGCUUGCUAGCUGAUUGUAUAUAUAUGCUGGCCGUAUUUCAUAGCAAGCUCGCUUUUAAUAGGCAACCAGUAAUAUGAGCAAUUCUUUACCUACAAGCCUAUAAUUAUAUUAACUCUAAGAGAAAUCUAAUAAUAAACGGAGUGAAUUGAAAUAUCUUAUUAACUUCAGGAAAAGAAAUCAAAAGAGAUUCUAUGAUUAGCGUGAGCUAAAAUAGAGUAGCCUAGAAAGUCAAAUGGUGGAUAAACUGUUUAAAUUUAAUGGGGAACCUUCCUCAAAGGCUAAAUAUAAUAUGUAAGCGAUAGUGGAAAGUACCGUGAGGGAACCAAAACAAAAACAGUGAUUUUAUAAGCAGUUCGGAAAAAUAAAAAAGUUAGAACGUACCUUUUGCAUAAUGGGUCACCAAGUUAACAUUAGAUGCGAGAUUCUACGUAGUUAAACCGAGCGUUAAAAUAACGGUAAGUGUCUAAAGUUAGACCCGAAGCCUGGUGAUUUUACCAUAAUCAGGAUUAUAAAAGUCCGAACGGAAUAUUGUAGCAUAAAUAUCCGAAGAAUUAUGGUAGGUGUAGUGAAAGACAAUACUGACCAGGAUAGCUGGUUUUCUGCGAAACCUAUAACAGUAGGCAAUUUAAGUAUAAUAUCUUAGCAGGUACAGAAUUUAAUCUCAGACAAGACAUAAGGCUUAACUUGUUAACAAGUUAAGCCCAUGUUUUAUUUUGUACAAAUUGGGGGAUCAUGAAGAUUUUAUCAGUGAGUAUGUAGACUCGGAAUGGCAAAGAUAUAUCUUAAAUCAUCAGACAUAGAAUGAUAAGGUUGUAUGUCAAAAGGGAAACAGCCCAGAACAAGAGUUAAGGUUCCUAAAUUAUUAGUUGAGUGAAAUUAAGAAGGUUUUUAUUAAAGUCGACAAGGAGAUAGGCUUAGAAGCAGCCAUAAUUUUAUGACCUCGUAACAGAGCGCUUGUUAAGUUUUAAAAGCAUCGAAAAUUUAUCGGAUCUAAACAAUAUACCGAAACCUUGUCCAUAUUAUUUUAUAAUUAAUAGUCUCAGCAAGCUCGGACUAUACAAUUAUAAUUAAAUGGGGUAGCAGAACGUUGAGCUAAAUUAAGAUUUUUAUUUUUUAAAUGAAAUUAUAAUAAUUUAACUCAAGUGAUAAUGGUGACAUGAGUAACUAAAAGAAAAUUUUCCGCCUAAAGCUUAUGGAUGUAAUUAAGUAACGGCCUCUAAGUUUAUGGAAUCAAAAGAUUAAAACGAUGAGACAAUCUUUCAUACUAAGGACGACAUUUUAAGUGCAAAAUGUACUGGAAAAAUAGUAAUAAGUUUAAGCUAUGGCUAGAACUAGCUAUAGCUGUAAAUGGAAAGUAACCGUACCUAGAAUCUGAAACAAGUAAGCUAGUAGAGAAUACGAAGGCGUAAAUGAGCUAACAAUCAUAAAGGAACUCGGCAAAUUGACUACCGUAACUUCGGGAUAAGGAGAGCUCAUUAUUCUUGAUUAAUAUCAGGUAAAGAGGAAGAAGCAUGAAAUAGUGUUGUACGACUGUUUAAUUAAAACACAGCACUUUGCUGAAAGAUUAAAAAUCUAAGUAUAGAGUGUGAUGUCUGCCCGGUGCCGGCUGGUUAACAGAUAUAAUUAAAUAUACUAAUAUUUGAUGUAGACGGAAACCCCGGUUAAAGGCGGCCUUAACGUGAGGGUCCUAAGGUAGCGAAAUGCCUUGGCCGUUAAAUGCGGUCUUGCAUGAAUGAUGUAACGAUACAACAGCUGUCUCUAUGAUUGACUCAGUGAAAUUGGAAUAGCUGUGCAGAUACAGUUUACCUCUAGUUAGACGAGAAGACCCUAUGCAGCUUUACUGUCACUAAUUAUAGAGUAUGAUAAACAAUUUUCAGUUUAUAAGGUAAUUGACGGCCGGCUUGCUUAGCAAGCUGGCUCUAUGACAAUGAGAAUCCUUUAUUUUUUUUUCAUAUGAAUGAAUUGGUUUAGGACGAGCUUAAGCUCGUAGUAAAUCAACCUAAUUCAGCUUAUUUUCCUUUCUGCUGUAAGCGCAUAAUGAUAGAUUAUACUUAAAUUUGGAUUUAUGCCUGCAGAAAUAGAUAAGUACCCUUGGUUAAGGAACUAUCGCUAGGGGACAGUUUAUGUGGGGCACAGACCCUGUAAAGAGUAAACAGGAGUGUCUAAUAAUUUAUAAUUAUUUUGUUUGCGAUUUAAGGUAGUAGAACUAUUUUUAAUCAUAUAAAAUUAUUUAUAUGUACAUUCGUUGUAUAUAUAUUUAAAAAAAGGUAGGAUUUUCACUAUAUAGAAAUUAGAGAUAAUAAAAAUAUUAAGUAGUAGCUGCUGAGUCCUAAUCCCGCCGAAGGGGGGGAUAUGGACUACUAUGUAUUUCAUAGCAAGCUCGCACUAAUAUUUUUUAACUAUUAAGACUGGCUAUCUAGCUAUGCUCUAAUAGUUAUGUUUUAAUUAUCUAAAAAGCUCAACGGCUAAAUCUUGCCUUACUGUUUGAUUAUCAACAAAUCUUACAGUUGCGUAAGCAGGGCAUAGGAUCACAAGAUGCAACAAGGAAAGAUCUUGGAUUAUUGGAAAAGCUACGCUAGGGAUGUUUGUCCUUUAAUAUUUUAUUUCACUGUGGUAUGGGU